AGUGAACGCUGGCGGUAGGCCUAACACAUGCAAGUCGAACGGCAGCACAGUAAGAGCUUGCUCUUACGGGUGGCGAGUGGCGGACGGGUGAGGAAUACAUCGGAAUCUACUUUUUCGUGGGGGAUAACGUAGGGAAACUUACGCUAAUACCGCAUACGACCUACGGGUGAAAGCAGGGGAUCUUCGGACCUUGCGCGAUUGAAUGAGCCGAUGUCGGAUUAGCUAGUUGGCGGGGUAAAGGCCCACCAAGGCGACGAUCCGUAGCUGGUCUGAGAGGAUGAUCAGCCACACUGGAGCUGAGACACGGUCCAGACUCCUACGGGAGGCAGCAGUGGGGAAUAUUGGACAAUGGGCGCAAGCCUGAUCCAGCCAUACCGCGUGGGUGAAGAAGGCCUUCGGGUUGUAAAGCCCUUUUGUUGGGAAAGAAAAGCGGCAGGUUAAUACCCCGCUGUUCUGACGGUACCCAAAGAAUAAGCACCGGCUAACUUCGU
rnacentral:rRNA from 1 species